GAGUUUGAUCAUGGCUCAGAUUGAACGCUGGCGGCAUGCCUUACACAUGCAAGUCGAACGGCAGCACGGGAGCUUGCUCCUGGUGGCGAGUGGCGAACGGGUGAGUAAUGCAUCGGAACGUAUCCUGGAGUGGGGGAUAACGUAGCGAAAGUUACGCUAAUACCGCAUAUUCUGUGAGCAGGAAAGCGGGGGACCUUCGGGCCUCGCGCUCUUGGAGCGGCCGAUGUCGGAUUAGCUAGUUGGUAGAGGUAAAGGCUCACCAAGGCGACGAUCCGUAGCAGGUCUGAGAGGAUGAUCUGCCACACUGGAACUGAGACACGGUCCAGACUCCUACGGAGGCAGCAGUGGGAAUUUUGGACAAUGGGGGCAACCCUGAUCCAGCCAUGCCGCGUGAGUGAAGAAGGCC
rnacentral:rRNA from 1 species